rnacentral:rRNA from 1 species
CUAGUAACGGCGAGUGAAGCGGCAACAGCUCAAAUUUGAAAUCUGGCCUUCGGGUCCGAGUUGUAAUUUGUAGAGGAUGCUUUUGGCGCGGUGCCUUCCGAGUUCCCUGGAACGGGACGCCUUAGAGGGUGAGAGCCCCGUACGGUUGGACACCAAGCCUCUGUAUAGCUCCUUCGACGAGUCGAGUAGUUUGGGAAUGCUGCUCUAAAUGGGAGGUAAAUUUCUUCUAAAGCUAAAUAUUGGCCAGAGACCGAUAGCGCACAAGUAGAGUGAUCGAAAGAUGAAAAGCACUUUGAAAAGAGGGUUAAAUAGCACGUGAAAUUGUUGAAAGGGAAGCGUUUGCGACCAGACCUUUUCCUAGCGGAUCAUCCGGUGUUCUCACCGGUGCACUUCGCUAGGUUUAGGCCAGCAUCGGUUUCUGUAGGGGGAUAAAAGCUCUGGGAACGUAGCUCCUUCGGGAGUGUUAUAGCCCUCUGCAUAAUACCUUUACGGGGACCGAGGACCGCG